CUAUGUCAGCUAAACAAGUGCGAUCGAGUAGUUAAAAGGAUUUUACUGUUCAAAUUUUGAAGUGUCGUUUUUAGCUGGAAACUUCAUAGGAAAGUACUCGAAGCUGCAAAGUGAUGUGUUUAAUCGUUCGUGUGUGUAGCGGAACAGAUAUUGUGUCUUGCUGCUGUCAUACGCUUCCGCAGGGCCCUUCGUACGCUCGGCUGCGUCAGUCCGGUCACGUUGUUGUCUUAGUAACCGACCCCGCGGCCAUGUCAGCUUCUCGGCUUAGUUCAUUGGAUCGUCAAGUCUAUAUUUAGCGACGACGUCAAGUAGGAAGUCGUCUGCUCGCAGCAGGAAAUUUCAGAGACGUCCAUGAUGUUGCACUAAGUUUCCUAGGACGCUGGCUGAAUAUAAAAGUCGAUGACAAAAUAACUUCCCCCUCCUACUCCUUACCUGAGAAUAACUCGAGGGGAUCAAACUCAUCGAGUCGGUUCCUCGAGUCUCUUCCUGCAGGUGCGGCGUAUGGAACCUGUGAGUAACAUCCGAGAAACAACUGUAUGCUGCUUUUCUUGGAAUGAAGUUUUCCCAGUGUCAGCCGCUGCCUGCCAGGAGAGUUUCUUUAGGAUGUCGUCGCUGAAAAUAAUUCAGGAAACUCAACAUUUCAACCCUUGCCUACAGCAAAACAGUUCCCACUUACAAGAGUCGUAAAGGUCACCAAGGAUGCAGCCAAGGAAUACUGCCAUCUUUACUACUGGCUGCAGCGUUGACAACAUAUGCGAGUCAUUGAUUUGAGUGUGGCGGUGUUUGUGAGGCAGUAUCUGGAGAAAGGAAGAUGGGAGAAGGAGUGCAUUGAUGUCAUAAACGUAUGACACCCUGUCAGCACCAUCCAUGGCGGAAGACAGUUUACAUUUCAUGUGGAGCUUAGUGGGGGCAGGGGAGGGGACAAACGAACAGCAGAAGCUGAAGGGGAGGAUGGGGAGUUCAUGACGUCAAGAAGGUGAAAUAAAGUUUUGGGCUGGGUGUGAAAAGAGUCCGCGGGUGUUGAUGAAAGCUGAGCCCGCAGCAAAUAUUUGACAGGUGAGUUCACGUCACACUGCUGCAGGUGUGUGAUUAGCGGGGAGGGAGGGGAAUAACUGGAGCUGAUGGACUUAGCCGAGUUCUAUCCUCAAUUAAAGCAACAUGGCUGUAAGGUCCUGGGCACAAUCACAGCAAGUCGACACAAAUCUCGCUCACAAGUUGGCAAAAUCGAAAACACAUCGGCAUUAUUUUUGAAAUCGUGUAUGGCAUCAUCUCGGAACAGAACAUUCUGGACGUGUAUGAUCUUGGCAUAUUUUAGAGUGACCUCCACCACAGACCUUCAAAGGUCAUCUGUGUCAUCGUCGGAAAGUGAACUCUGGUGACCUUCAUCUACUUGCAGAGCUUCCCUUUGACUUGCCCAGUGAAAUGUGAGCUAAUGUCUACAGCAAAGUCGGAGUUGCUAUGUCAUUGUGGCAA